rnacentral:rRNA from 1 species
AGUGAACGCUGGCGGUAGGCCUACACAUGCAAGUCGAACGGCAGCACGGGUGCUUGCACCUGGUGGCGAGUGGCGAACGGGGGAGUAAUACAUCGGAACGUACCUUAUCGGGGGGGAUAACGCAGCGAAAGCUGUUCUAAUACCGCAUACGCCCUGAGGGGGAAAGCGGGGGACGGCAGGACCUCGCGCGACUAGAGCGGCCGAUGCCUGAUUAGCUAGUGGCUGGGGUAAAAGCCCACCAAGGCGACGAUCAGUAGCUGGUCUGAGAGUACGAUUAGCCACACUGGGACUGAGACACGGCCCAGACUCCUACGGGAGGCAGCAGUGGGGAAUUUUGGACAAUGGGGGCAACCCUGAUCCAGCAAUGCCGCGUGAGUGAAGAAGGCCUUCGGGUUGUAGAGCUCUUUUGUCAGGGAAGAAACACCGGCUCUAACACAGUCCGGGAAUGACGGUACCGUAAGAAUAAGCACCGGCUAACUACGUGCCAGCCGCCGCCGUAA